rnacentral:tRNA from 1 species
GCCACCUUGGCUAAGUGGUUACGGCGCUCCGCUUGUAACGGAGAGAUCACUCGUUCGAUCCGGGUAGGUGGCA